GGAACCCUCGCACAAUGGUAGUGCAACCGAUUACAUAUCGGAGGGCAUUGGUUCGAUUCCAAUGGGUUUCG
rnacentral:tRNA from 1 species